AUACGGAGGGUGCGAGCGUUAAUCGGAAUUACUGGGCGUAAAGCGUGCGCAGGUGGUUUUGUAAGUCAGAUGUGAAAUCCCCGGGCUUAACCUGGGAACUGCGUUUGAAACUGCAAGGCUAGAGUGUGGCAGAGGGGGGUGGAAUUCCGCGUGUAGCAGUGAAAUGCGUAGAGAUGUGGAGGAACACCAAUGGCGAAGGCAGCCCCCUGGGUCAACACUGACGCUCAGGCACGAAAGCAUGGGGAGCAAACAGGAUUAGAAACCCCAGUAGUCC
rnacentral:rRNA from 1 species